UAGCUGAUGCACUGAAAGGAAGGUGGAUGUAUUAUAACCCGCUCCCUGAUAGAGCCAAAUAUGUCAGCUGGCUUUUCUGCAGAAAGGACAGAGCAUCUGGCUGUCACCAGGGCUGCAGCUUUUCAGCAGCACAAAAUAGACAAGCACAUUGCAGCCUUCAACAAACAAACAGUGAGUCCUCCUCCAAGAAACAUUCUCUCUUCUAAAGGCUGCCGAUUUGCCCUUUAGCCAUUCCUGCUCAAGUUCCAUCUUCAACAAGGACUGCUUUUUGAUCAGUACAGUGAUGCCAUUUUUCCCUCCGCUGAGACUCACGACAUAUUCUGUGGCUUAUGUGCUCACGGCUUUGUGUCUCCAGUUGGAUAUGAAGCUGGAAUAAGAUGAAGAGAUGAAAGGAAUUAUACUUCAGUCUCACAAAGCUGUGUCUGGUUUCCUGACUGUGAGAUCACAAAUGUACUUGCCUUCUCUGAAGCUGACUUUCCUCAUCCGUAAAAGAGAAGAGUCCUCAUUUGGGAGAGUGGUUACACAGAUUUAAUGAAAUAGAAACACAGAAAGCCAUUUCUGAGACAAAAUACUUGGUAGUCGCUAAAUAUAUGUGACUUUCCCUUCUUUGAAGACAGGGCUGUGACUCACACUAACAGUAGCACAAGUGAGUAGCAGCCGCUCAUGUGUUUUCAGUUAUGUAGCAGGGUAUGAGUUAUUUUGAGAGGUUUUCAAAAGGUAAUAGAAAUAGUCCGAGGAUCCAGAAAUAUGGUCAGCACAUUAAAAACUUCUUACUACAUGGGGAGAAUAGAGAGUCAGAGAUAUCUGUGAUUAAAACUUCCCUGAAGAGAAAGCAGGGACUUGCACCGCCAGACUCAUAGCAGCUUCACCCACAAAAUUUAGAGGAAAGAACUGAAGUAUCCACUGAUGGAUGGAUGGAUGGAUGGAUGGAUGGAUGGAUCACCAAAACAUGUAAUAUGUCACAAGCAGGCAAGUUCACCACGUCCUCCCACAGCACUGCGCAGAUGUCUCCAUGUCAGCAAGGAGACUGCUGGAAGCCUGUCAUGGAGAGCCGGGGGCACAAAGAAUGUAGAGUCUGCUACCAGUGGAAGGACACACAGGCAAGAAGUCAUAGCAUAUUCCAGAGCCAUCCAUGGAAGUGUCUAUUAAGGAGAGGUGGAAAUACAGCUGUACAGACUGGAGGAGCAGAAUCCUGGGUUUCAAGAGUCUGCAUCUGCUGAGGAGCUCACUUUAUAUCCUGAAAGCUGCAGCAUUUCUGAAGGACCUCAUGCAGGGAAUGGAAGACCAAAAUCAGAAAAUCUCUUUGGAAGCUGAUAGAGGGUGAGGUAAUGCAAGGGCCAGGAAAUCAGUGAGUGUGGGGUUGAUGGUUUGGUAUGAUGGUUACGUGUCAGAAUCGGACAUGAGUCAACCAAAUAGUUGGUUAGGCAUUAUUCUGGGUAUGUCUGUGAGUGUGUUUCUGGAUGGAAUUUAUGUUUGCAUUGGUAGACUGAGUCUUAAAAUACAGACUUUAUUUGCUUCUGCGUGUGUGUGUGUGUGUGUGUGUGUGUGUGUGUGUGUGUGUGUUAUGUGUACAUAUAUCCCAUGGUUCUGUCUUUCUGGAGAACGAUAAUACAUUGGUGUGAUCCUAUUAGUCUCACAGUCUGUUUCCAAGCUUCCCUCCUUUCCAUUUGCUCUUAGUAUUUCUAGACAACUUACAUUUUUAACCUGUCUAAGCAGAUCAGGACUUCCCCUGAUUCCAUACCUAAUUCCCAGUUCCCUGUAACCCCAAUUCCUACCCUAGAGUCAAAAGCCCUCCAUAACCUGGCCUUCCCCUUUGGUUCACCCUUCCUUCCUCUCUCUUUCCUUUGCACCGGUAUCAGCAUCCUAACUCAUCUUGAUCUUUCGUAUAUUUUUGUCGUUUGCUUCCAAUGGUGACAUUGUCUGACACACCCCUUCCCUUUUCUCUCCCUGGAUGCUAACUGCUUAUUAGCAUUUUGUUGACACUUCCUCAAGAAAUCUAUCCCUUGGUUCCCAAAGGUAUGUACCCAAGCUUCCCCAGUUUGUACAUUUCUCCAUUGUGGCAGGCAUUACAUCUUAUCAAAGCAACCUACGUAGUGUCUAUUUCCACAGUUGGAGGAUGGCCCCGAGGGUAUAGACCAUCACUGUUUCAACUUGGAAUCCCAAGAGCCUAUAAGGAGUCAAGUCUUAGGUGCCAAAAUGCUGAGCAUGGACAGAUAUAAAACAUAGAAUGGUGGAAAAGACAAAGGAAGCGGAAAGGAUGAUGUAGAUUCCACUUGCCGUGGUUCAUUCUCCUGUUUAAUGUCCUGUUAAGUGGACAGGAUGAUCCUCUUUUUCUAAAUGAUCCUCUUUCUGAGCAUUAUACACUGUGUUCCAUUGACAGUCAAUAAUCAACUGUGGACUUAUUUUCAUAAGAUGUUUUUUUCUUUUGUACUUGUUAGCUUCAACCAGUUUCUAUUUGGGCUUGAAGAGGCUUGGCUGAUUUCAGGGACAGCUGUCGUCUCUUAUUUUGUACUAGGGAAAUUUUAGGAACUUAUUCUGGUAUUUUGAGGACAUUUGUUCAUAGCAUUGUUUAAUGCAAAGUUAAAUUUUAGGGAUGACAAAAUUUCCAAAACAUGUUCAUUGAUCUUUUGAAUUAAAUGCAUCUGGGUUUUAAAAUUCAUGUCCUAUAAACUUGUACGGGGUGCAGAGAGUUGUAGAGGAGUUAUGCUUUUUAAUGAAAUUUGGCAAAAUAUAAUGUCAAGAUUAAAGAGCAGGCAAAUUUAUUUUUGCAGCUGCUGAUCCUAGGCGUAGUGAUCCUAACCUCUACCAAGCAAGAGGAGAUGAAGCCGGAAUGUAGAAUAUUUAGAAUGAAACCCAGCAGGGGCCACAAAGGUUGGUUUAAUUAUGGUGAAAAGAACACUAAGAGUGAAAACCACUUUUAACAUUCCUGCUACAGAAAAGUAAUUGGUCUCAGUGUUUUGCUGCUGAGCAGUUGGGGAAGUGAAUAUUUCUAUUGCGGCCAAAGCCUGCAGAUUUCUUCUAUGACUCAUCUUCUGUCUGAACUCUGAAAGUCUGGUAUGUGGAAGGGCUAUUGAAGCCACACAUCCUCAUUCCAGUUCACUUGUGUCAAUACAGAGCAAGGCUGUACUUCAGGGUCAGUUCCGUGUGACAGUUCAACCCAGAGUAUAUUUAAUUGGAGGAUAAAGAUAGAUUUUUCAUCUCUGAGUUGUUCUUUAACUGUACUUAUCAUUUUGCACGUAUACAAUAGCAAAAACCACAACACCCUCCCAUCUCCUGUCUUACUCUCUCUGGUGAAGGCUGAUAUAAACACUACUAUCUUGACUUUGGGAAGCAAUGAAUAUUUAUGGACUUCAUUUUUCUCAUGAAAAUUAGAAUAAUAUCUACUUGAUUAAAUGGGAAUAAUAUCUACCUGAUUAAAAGAGUAGAAAUAAAUGGCUUAGCACAA